UAGAGUUGAUCCUGGCUCAGAACGAACGCUGGCGGCAUGCCUAAUACAUGCAAGUCGAACGAGAUCCUUCGGGGUCUAGUGGCGCACGGGUGCGUAACGCGUGGGAAUCUGCCCUUGGGUUCGGAAUAACGUUUGGAAACGAACGCUAAUACCGGAUGAUGACGAAAGUCCAAAGAUUUAUCGCCCAAGGAUGAGCCCGCGUAGGAUUAGCUAGUUGGUAAGGUAAAGGCUUACCAAGGCGACGAUCCUUAGCUGGUCUGAGAGGAUGAUCAGCCACACUGGGACUGAGACACGGCCCAGACUCCUACGGGAGGCAGCAGUAGGGAAUAUUGGACAAUGGGGGCAACCCUGAUCCAGCAAUGCCGCGUGAGUGAUGAAGGCCUUAGGGUUGUAAAGCUNCUUUUACCCGGGNAUGAUAAUGACAGUACCGGG
rnacentral:rRNA from 1 species